rnacentral:rRNA from 1 species
UACAGAGGGUGCGAGCGUUAAUCGGAAUUACUGGGCGUAAAGGGCGCGUAGGCGGUGUAUUAAGUUAGAUGUGAAAUCCCUGGGCUUAACCUAGGAACUGCAUCUAAUACUGGUACGCUAGAGUGCUGUAGAGGAUAGUGGAAUUUCCGGUGUAGCGGUGAAAUGCGUAGAUAUCGGAAGGAACACCAGUGGCGAAGGCGGCUAUCUGGACAGACACUGACGCUGAGGCGCGAGAGCGUGGGGAGCAAACAGG